rnacentral:rRNA from 1 species
UUGGAGGGCAAGUCUGGUGCCAGCAGCCGCGGUAAUUCCAGCUCCAAUAGCGUAUAUUAAAGUUGUUGCAGUUAAAAAGCUCGUAGUUGAAUUUCGGGAUCAAUAUUUCGGUCAUGCCGUUGGUAUGCACUGUUAUCAUUGAUUUCUCACCUUCUAAAGAACCGUAAUGCCAUUAAUUUGGUGUUACGGGGAAUUAGGACUGUUACCUUGAAAAAAUUAGAGUGUUUAAAGCAGGCUCACGCUUGAAUACAUUAGCAUGGAAUAAUGAAAUAGGACAUCCGAUUCUAUUUUGUUGGUUUCUAGGAUCGAUGUAAUGAUUAAUAGGGAUAGUUGGGGGCAUUAGUAUUCAAUUGUCAGAGGUGAAAUUCUUGGAUUUAUUGAAGACUAACUACUGCGAAAGCAUUUGCCAAGGAUGUUUUCAUUAAUCAAGAACGAAAGUUAGGGGAUCGAAGACGAUCAGAUACCGUCGUAGUCUUAACCAUAAACUAUGCCGACUAGGGAUCGGGAUGAUGUUAAUUUUAAUGUACUCAUUC